rnacentral:lncRNA from 1 species
GCAGUUGGUGGACCUGGUCGCGCUGUGCCGGGUGUGACACUACGGUAGGUGUAGGUUAGGAUGUGUCUUCUGGUCGUGGUCUACUAGUUGGGGCCGAGGGAAGAAGAUGACGAUUCCAAUUUCAGUAGCCACUCUCUAGGCUUAUGAACUGAAAGACCAAGGAGCACAAUUUCCGAGUUUCAAAGAUACUUUCAAACUGAAAGGAACUGUUCGCCAGCUGCUCGCGAAGUGGCCCAUGUGACCCCUAGUGAACGGUCUAAACUUCCGCUAGAUGCUUUGGGAAUUCGUAAAGCGACUGCGUGCGCGGCAGCCAAGCCACAGCUUUACAGGGUUCGCCUUCUGUGUGGGAACGCAGCUUUUCCCGAGAAAUUGGGUUAGGGAUUAAAGAGAAGAACUGCAUCCUUUUUACUGCCCUUUUUCCACGUCUGUCCUGGGCUUAGGGCCCUCCUCAGAGGCCAGAGGGGUAGGCGAGUCCGGGGCGGUAGGGGGCUGCGUCCGGAAGUCCAGGCUGCGUUCUGUCCACCCUGCCCACCCUUAGGGGGCAGGACAGGAAUAAGGUCACCUCACCAAAGAGGCCCAUCAACAUGGAAGAAUAUUUCAGUGAAUCUUGACUCACCAAGCUCAGUGACUUUUCAUUGAAAAGGGAGAGCAGAUUACAUUAUCAAAAGCACCAAGUUGAAACAUUUGCAAGGUAGGUGAGAAAAAAAGCAUUCGUCAGCAUAUUUUGGAUUUUAUCAUUUUGACUUUAUUGCCUAUGGUCAGUUCUGCCAGUUUUUGUCUCCUUCUAAAAAUUGUUUCAAUCUGCUGAAUCUAUGGAAAUUUAAUAUUUUCCAUAGUGAAGGCUGAUAAGACAUCUGAGGAAGAAUUAAAAACAGAUGAUCUCUAAUUUAAGAAACAUUUGAUGCUAAUUACUUCUUACCUUUUCACACAACUUAAAUAUUGGUUAAUAUAUAGGAUUACAUUACUUUUUAAGUGAGAUUUUAAAGCUAAAUUGAUAAAGUAGAGAUCUAGUGAGAUAAUUAGAUGUUCAUACAAGAUUUGAAAAAUACAGACAUUCUUAGUCACACAAAAAUACCAAAAAGCAUUGUGAUAAUUCACUUUUUCUUAUUCUAAUUUGUAACAGCAUUUUAAUAUGGUCAGUAGAAUGGCUUCAGCAUAUUUACAAUCUUAAAGUUUUUAACUAGAAAACAGUUUGAUGUAUAGAUCUGUUACUCAGCAACAUUUUAGAUUUAAAACUUAAUUUAAUUUUAUAGCUAAUUUAAUUUUAUAGCAAAUUUAAUUGUAUAGCAUGUAAGGCAGUUUACAUUUGAUUUAAUAAAAUUAACACUUAGGCUUUUAUGAUAGCUUUCUAACUCAGGUAUCAGUGAUUUUCAGAAUGCAGAGAUUUUCAAACUGAAAUUUUUUUUGUCAUGAUGCUCUUGUGGCUAAGUUUAUACUUGGGUUAUUUCUUCUUUACACACACACACACACACACACACACACACACACACACACACACCCCAUAAUAUGAAAAAAUAAAGUCUGAAAGAAAAUAUACAAAUACAUUACUAUUUUUUGGACAGUGUAUAGAUUUGAGUGAUCUGUAGAACCUUCUUUAUUGUAUUAUACAGGCUUAAAUUUUUAAUGAUUACUUUAUAAUUCGGUAGAGUAUAGCUAUUUUCAUUUUCAAAAACAUAUAUAUGACAAUCCCAGUAUAGGUGAUACAUUGUUUUCACAAAAAUUUUAUAAUAAAUAUUGACAAUAAUUUUUUCCUAUCCUCUUGAAUCUGUAAAAACCUGCCAGAGCAAAUAUCCUGUUCUUUCCUUGGCAUUACUAAUUUGUUCAUGGUAUUGAUAUAAACCACUCAGUGGAAGUUACAGUGUAAUAACUGUAAACUGCAAGGGGUAUGUUAUGCUUAAAGGAUCCCAGGAAUGAUCCAAGACAAACCACAGACAUGGUAAACAGAAAUUAUACCUCUGCAGGAUCUUAGGACUCCUCUACACUGUUAACAAUUAUUGAAGACCCUUGCAAAGAACUUUGUUUAUGCAGGUUAUGUUGGUAUUUAUCAUAUUAGAAAUUGAAACAGAAAAAUUUAAAAAAUAUUUACUAAAUCAUUUAAAAACAAUGAAAACAUAUUACAUGUUAACAUAUGUAAUAUAGUUUUUCUGAAACAAAAUAAACAAAUAUGUAUGUAUACAUAUAUAGCGAGAAGAGUGGCACUGUUUUACAUUUUUGUAAAUGUCUUUAAUAUAAGGCUUAAUAGAAGACAGCUGAAUUCUCUUACCUGCUUCUGCAUUCAAUUGGAUGCAAUAUGGUAUUUUGUUUAAAGUAAAAUCUGUCUUUACACAAAUAUGUAAUUAUAGAAGGAAGGAGUAUUUUAAUAACUUUUUCAGUUGAUUGUGGAUAUUCUUUAAUAUUACAGUGAAUCUCAACAAAUGAUAGUCUGUUACAGAUUAGUUGCAUUGUGAAAUCUGAAACCAUAUAAAUCAACUUUUCAGACUUUUGAACCUAGCCUGUUUCUUAAGGAAGAUUUCUGAAAGGUGUCUAACUUUUGCUUUAAAAAAAUAAAUUGUAAAAUUUAAAUCAUAGUAAGACAAUCUCAAGCACAUUCUGAAGGAUAUUUUAAGUUUACUUUUCAUCAAAGUUACUUUAUAAAAUAUUCAAGCACUGCUUAAGUCUCUGAUCCUGAUUUCUUAAUGUUUAGAUUAAUUGAAUUUAAAGUUUAUUAUUUAUUAGAUGUUCUAGCUCUUAAAGUCUUUGCUUUGUGACUUUCUGGAGGUAAGUUUUUGUAUAUUAAUUAAGCAGAUGUAAACAGCAUAGGAAAAAAUAAAGGUUUGAUUAGUGAUUUUUUGGCAUGGUGCUCCACUAUUCUAGAUUUCUGUUAAGUACUAAAGAAAGUAAUUUCCAAACAAAACCUUUGCUUGAGCUUGAGAACCGAAAUACUGAUUUCAAAAAAAAAA